GGUUCGCUAGAGUUUUUGAAGCGAAGCUUGAGUUUUUCUUUGUGGAGAUGUAGCUCCAAGUCUAGAGAACCCAUUUGUUGUGGAGAAAGAGGGUUUUUGCCCAUGUUCUCGGAACCAAGCUCUGAUACCCAAAUAGGAUCAGAAGGAGAAGAGGAAGAAGAAGACAAAAGGAAUAUCAAGACUCCGCCUAGCCGCCUAGCCGCCUAGCGCCCGCCUAGCCACCCGCCUAGGCCGAUUUUCAUUCUGAUUCCAAGUAGGUAAAUAUGUCAUCCAUUUUUAGUCAUGGAAAUUCAUCUAUUCUGCAGGUUCUUGACCGCGGUGAGAAGAUUGAGCUGUUGGUGGACAAAACUGAUAAUCUUCGCUCCCAGGCCCAAGAUUUCAGGACACAGGGAACAAAAAUGAAAAGGAAGAUGUGGUUUCAGAAUAUGAAGAUAAAAUUGAUUGUUGUGGAGAUCAUCAUUCUCAUAGACUUUGUGAUAUUUUUGUCAAUCUGCCAUGGUUUUAAGUGUACCUAAGUUUGCAUCCAUGGACGCUUUCGUGCUGUUAUGCGGCAUUGGUAAAUUGCUCUAUCUCUUUGAGUUGCUUACCUUGUUAGGUUAUGCCCGUCCUGGUUUGCUAGCCAUUUUAGGAUGGGGUGGGGGAAGGUUUUGUAUGUUUUUUUUCGCACUGGUUGUUGUGUAGUUUAAAUAUUUGUCCUUGUCUUGUCUAGGGUAGAUAUAAUCAAUCACUAUCAUAUAUGUGCUCCGUGUAAUAUAAUGGAUCCUUAAUUAGCUUAAGAUGUAAUGGAGGAAUGCUUGGAUGAUUGUAAAUCA